rnacentral:tRNA from 1 species
GCCGAAGUGGUGGAAGCUGGUAGACACGCCAUCUUGAGGGGGUGGUGGGCCACGCCCGUGCGGGUUCAAAUCCCGCCUUCGGCACCA